UACGGAGGGUGCAAGCGUUAAUCGGAAUUACUGGGCGUAAAGGGUGCGUAGGUGGUUUAUUAAGUUAGCUGUGAAAGUCCUGGGCUUAACCUGGGGAGGUCAGCUAAGACUGGUAGACUUGAGUCUAGGAGAGGGUAGUGGAAUUUCCGGUGUAGCGGUGAAAUGCGUAGAGAUCGGAAGGAACACCAGUGGCGAAGGCGGCUACCUGGCCUAAGACUGACACUGAGGCACGAAAGCGUGGGGAGCAAACAGG
rnacentral:rRNA from 1 species